UUUUUCACCAUGUUUUUCACCAUGCUAAAGCUAAAGCAACUCAACUUUGUCUCUCGUGUCAGGACCAUCGACCUUGUAUAGGAUUAGCAUCGUUAAGGCACGUUCAGACUACACUUUUUUUCCCGGAUUCCGGAGUCCGGAUUUUUUUCAAGACAAAAAAAUCCGGAGGACGAAAAAAGUACCCGUUCAGACUGUCUUUUUAUUUUUCCGGUUUUCUGAAAGUCGGUGAAAAAAUUAGAAGACGUUGCCAAGUCACGCUGCGCCGUUUCUAGCAUGAGUUUGAUACAAUUUACCUAGAUGGCUUCGUUUUUGACAGUUCGUCUGCAGUGUUUGUUUUUUUCUGAACGCUUUCUUCUUAUUAUUAAAUGGAAGUCGAGGUAAAACACAUUGAAUUUGAGGUUUGGAGAUGGAAAAUUAAAAUGAGGAUAGCCCUUAUUCAAGCUUGGCGUUUGGGGAGAAUUCUAAAAUAUAAAGCUCUGCAACGGAAACGUCGUCCACUCGGUCGAAAGUGGACUAGAGAACAUAACACUGCAGAAAAUCGAGAGAAACAUUCUUGGUACAACACCAUCCUCAAAGAGGCUGCAGUCUCUGACCAAUACACCUUCAUUGCUGCAACAAGAAUGACUCCUACCAUUUUUGAGGGGCUGCUUCAACGGAUUGCACAAGUUGGGCACAAACAAGACACCACGUUCAGGAAGUGUAUUCCACUGGGUGCCCGCCUGGACAUGUCUCUUUGUUACUUUACAACCUUGGCUUGCACAUCUCCUUUCUUAUAAUCCUUCAUGGUGGUGUCGUACAGCACUGGAUCCUGUUCGACUUCUUGAAUUAACAGUUCUGUGUCUUCUUUUUUCCACUUGAAAAUGUUCUUCUUACUAAAAGAGAGUUAAAAAUUAGUGAAAAGUUAUUUAUUGAUGAGUUUUAAUUACUAAAAAUACAACACUUAUCUUUUGGGCA